GACGAACGCUGGCGGCGUGCUUAACACAUGCAAGUCGAACGGAAAGGCCCUGCUUUUGUGGGGUGCUCGAGUGGCGAACGGGUGAGUAACACGUGAGUAACCUGCCCUUGACUUUGGGAUAACUUCAGGAAACUGGGGCUAAUACCGGAUAGGAGCUCCUGCUGCAUGGUGGGGGUUGGAAAGUUUCGGCGGUUGGGGAUGGACUCGCGGCUUAUCAGCUUGUUGGUGGGGUAGUGGCUUACCAAGGCUUUGACGGGUAGCCGGCCUGAGAGGGUGACCGGCCACAAUGGGACUGAGAGACGGCCCAGACGCCUACGGGAGGCAGCAGUGGGGAAUAUGGUACAAUGGGCGGAAGCCUGAUGCAGCAACGCUGCGUGCGUGAUGACGGCCUUCGGGUUGUAAACCGGUUCUGCCUGUGACGAAGCGUGAGUGACGGUAAUGGGUAAAGAAGCACCGGCUAACUACGUG
rnacentral:rRNA from 1 species